UACGAAGGGGGCGAGCGUUGUUCGGAAUUACUGGGCGUAAAGGGUGCGUAGGCGGCCGAUCAAGUCAGAUGUGAAAGUCCUGGGCUUAACCUGGGGACUGCAUUUGAAACUGGGAGACUUGAGUGUGGCAGAGGGGGGUGGAAUUCCACGUGUAGCAGUGAAAUGCGUAGAUAUGUGGAGGAACACCGAUGGCGAAGGCAGCCCCCUGGGUUAACACUGACGCUCAUGCACGAAAGCGUGGGGAGCAAACAGG
rnacentral:rRNA from 1 species